GACGAACGCUGGCGGCGUGCUUAACACAUGCAAGUCGAACGGAGUGGCGAACGGGUGAGUAACACGUGGGUGAUCUGCCUUGCACUUCGGGAUAAGCUUGGGAAACUGGGUCCAAUACCGGAUAGUGCAAGAUGAGCUCGCGGCCUAUCAGCUGGUUGGUGGGGUAUUGGCCUACCAAGGGGUCGACGGGUAGCCGGCCUGGGGGGGUGUACGGCGACAUUGGGACUGAGGUACGGCCCAGACUCGUACGGUGGGCAGCAGUGGGGAGUAUUGUACAAUGGUGGGAAGCGUGAUGCGGCGACGCCACGUGGGGGAUGAAGGCCUUCGGGUUGUAAACUCCUUUCGGCAGGGACGCGGUACCUGUAUAAGAAGCACCGGCUAACUACGUGCCAGCAGCCGCGGUAAUAC
rnacentral:rRNA from 1 species